AGCUCUCAAAACGCAAUUGGCUUUAAAACCCGAUUGUUUUAGUUUUGGAUUUGGACUUUGCCGUGUUAUAACGGCUGGUUCUAAAAGCAUUAGCUGGUACUAGAACGAAUUGGUUCUUACUCAACGUGAUAAUUAAAGAUCGUUGAGGACAUUUCUUUCACGAGAAAUGGCCAUAGUAAAUUCUUAUGGACUGCUUCUAACCUGUGAUGAUUUCUUUUUGUUAAGAAGAGAGAUCACACAUAUUUUCAA
rnacentral:misc_RNA from 1 species